GCUCUGUAGAAAAUUCUAGAUUCUCUCAUCUCUCACUCUCUGCCUUCUCCGUCUCCUCCUACUUCCGUCCGCAGCAUUGUUAGCGUGUGAGUGUGCGAGAGUUCUGUCCGACACUCCUUUGCCAACCUUUGCCGAUAUGGGCGUUUCUUAUUCAUGUAGUCGCCGUCGUUGCUUUGUUUGCCAUGGCUGUAUGUAACCUGUAGCCUCCCUCAUCUUCCUCUGUCUUUCAUCAUUGAAGCCUCUUCCUUCUGAUCUGUCUGAGUAACUACAAGGGGGAGACGUGACUGUUGUUCUGGAAAUUUGAUUUUGAAACUUCCUCCUUCUUUUAUGCUGUAAAUUUCGUUCCCUUUCUACUACUGUAAAUUGAGAUAGUGUAGCUGACACUGAACCAUCCGC